rnacentral:rRNA from 1 species
GACGAACGCUGGCGGCGUGCUUAACACAUGCAAGUCGAACGGAAAGGCCCUGCCUGCUGGGUACUCGAGUGGCGAACGGGUGAGUAACACGUGGGUGAUCUGCCCUGCACUUCGGGAUAAGCCUGGGCAAAUGGGUCUAAUCCCGGAUAGGAGCCAUUUUUAGUGUGAUGGUUGGAAAGUUUUUUCGGUGUAGGAUGAGCUCGCGGCCUAUCAGCUUGUUGGUGGGGUAAUGGCCUACCAAGGCGGCGACGGGUAGCCGGCCUGAGAGGGUGGACGGCCACAUUGGGACUGAGGUACGGCCCAGACUCCUACGGGAGGCAGCAGGGGGGAAUAUUGCACAAUGGGCGCAAGCCUGAUGCAGCGACGCCGCGUGGGGGAUGACGGCCUUCGGGUUGUAAACUCCUUUCGCUAGGGACGAAGCUUUUUGUGACGGUACCUAGAGAAGAAGCACCGGCUAACUACGUG